AAUCUGAAAAAGCUACAUACUGUAUGCUCUAAAAAAUAGAGUCUUAAAAAGAAAAAGUACAUGGGGUAGGAGAGCAGAUGCUCUGGCGAGCAGAGCCACAGUCCCCAAACUGUGUUCCAUGAAACACUAGCUGUGUGAUGCUAACAAGCAUUUCCCAGAAAAAGGCUCCAAGGACAAAUAAAUAUAUGAAGCCAGGCAUACUAAAUCCCCCAUCCCAGAUUCAUAGCACAAAUUAACAUAUUCUGAAAAGUCAACAGCCACUAGCACCCUCAUUUUGGUCAGGCGCGGUGGCUCACACCUGUAAUCCCAGCACUUUGGGAGGCUGAGGCAGGCAAAUCACUUGAGGUCAUGAGUUCGAGACCAGCCUGGCCAACAUGGUGAAAUCU
rnacentral:lncRNA from 10 species